GCCUGGGUGGCUCAACUGGUUAAGCAUCCGACUUCAACUCUGGUCAUGAUCUUGCAAGUUGUGGGUUCAAGCCCCAUGCCAGGCU
rnacentral:tRNA from 1 species